GACAAGUGUUCUUGUGGGUUGUCCUUCAGUUGCUCCAAAGAAAACAUUUUCUUGAUAAAAAGCUUUGGGUGGUGGUCAUUGGAUUUUGGGGAAACAAAGGAGAGAGGAAGGAAAAAAGAUGGGUUCUUUAGAUCUCAAAUUCUAAAGCUUGUUUCUUUUUGUUGGGUUCGUUGUGCUAUGCCUUUUUAUCAUAACAAGGUGAGCUGCUGCAGUGGCGGAGGCAGAGGCAGUGGCGGAGGCAGAGACAGCGGCGGAGUCGAAGACAUUGCCGAAGGCGGAGAAGAGAAGGAACAGAACCUGCCCUUUUCCAGCUCUUCUCCUUUGCAGUACGUUUGGCUGCGAAUGAUCUUCAGAAGCUUAGGGACCCUCGUGCACGGCUCCUCCAUGCCGGUGUUCUUCCUCAUAUUUGACGAAAUGGUUGACAGAUUCGACAAAAACCAAAUGAAUUUGUAGAAAAUAACCAGCUGGAGGCAGAAAUGGCACGUUGGAUGUACACCGACUACCGACUAGAGGCAGGAAAAGUGACACAUGAUCUUGACGACUGUUGCAUAUCAUCAACUGAAGUGUUCUUCCUCUAACUCAAGGCUGGGACAUGCAAUUCUUUCAAAAGCAUCCUCGUCUUCUAACAAGGUUUUCCACCAAUCAUUUCCAUUCUUUGUCGAUGACGACGUUUGUGGUAGCGUACUUAAAUCUUCUGCUGCUUGAAUGUGGUCCAGAAUUGGUUCUUUACUGUUCAAGUAAUAUGAACCUUGGAUGAAUUUCUGGGGUUGAGGUCUUAUCGCUAUGGUCUUCCUCGUUUCUUGGAAUUUAUUUUUCAUCGUUUUCACGCCAGAAUCGAUCCGCAAUUGAGUGUUCCAAUAAUUUUUCA